GACGAACGCUGGCGGCGUGCCUAAUACAUGCAAGUCGAGCGAAGCGGCGGAUGGGUGAGUAACGCGUGGGUAACCUGCCCUUAAUUCUGGGAUCCCAUUUGGUAACAGAUGCCAAUACCGGAUACUUCAGUAUGGACCUGCGAUGCAUUAGCUAGUUGGUAAGGUAACGGGUUACAAAGGCGAGGAUGCAUAGCCGGGUUGAGGGACUGAUCGGCCACAUUGGGACUGAGACAAGGCCCAAACUCCUAAGGGAGGCAGCAGUAGGGAAUCUUCCAAAAUGGACGAAAGUCUGAUGGAGCAAGGCCGCGUGAGUGAAGAAGGGUUUCGGAUCGUAAAGCUCUGUUGUUGGGGAAGCGGUAAUCAACAAGAAAGUCACGGCUAACUACGUGCCAGCAGCCGCGGUAAUAC
rnacentral:rRNA from 1 species